rnacentral:rRNA from 1 species
CUUUGGGUUGUAAACCCCUUUUGUUAGGGAAGAAAAAAAUGACGGUACCUAACGAAUCAGCCUCGGCUAACUCCGUGCCAGCAGCCGCGGUAAUACGGAGGAGGCAAGCGUUAUCCGGAAUUAUUGGGCGUAAAGCGUCCGUAGGUGGCCCGGCAAGUCUGCUGUCAAAGACCACAGCUCAACUGUGGAAAGGCAGUGGAAACUGCAAGGCUAGAGUGCGGUAGGGGUAGAGGGAAUUCCCAGUGUAGCGGUGAAAUGCGUAGAGAUUGGGAAGAACACCGGUGGCGAAAGCGCUCUACUGGGCCGCAACUGACACUGAUGGACGAAAGCUAGGGGAGCGAAUGGGAUUA